rnacentral:rRNA from 1 species
CCUACGGGAGGCAGCAGUGAGGAAUAUUGGACAAUGGAGGCAACUCUGAUCCAGCCAUGCCGCGUGCAGGAAGACUGCCCUAUGGGUUGUAAACUGCUUUUAUAUAGGAAGAAACCUUGGUACGUGUACCAAGCUGACGGUACUAUAAGAAUAAGGAUCGGCUAACUCCGUGCCAGCAGCCGCGGUAAUACGGAGGAUCCAAGCGUUAUCCGGAAUCAUUGGGUUUAAAGGGUCCGUAGGUGGAUAAUUAAGUCAGAGGUGAAAUCUUGCAGCUCAACUGUAAAAUUGCCUUUGAUACUGGUUAUCUUGAGUUAUUAUGAAGUAGUUAGAAUAUGUAGUGUAGCGGUGAAAUGCAUAGAUAUUACAUAGAAUACCAAUUGCGAAGGCAGAUUACUAAUAAUCAACUGACACUGAUGGACGAGAGCGUGGGUAGCGAACAGGAUUAGAUACCCUGGUAGUCCACGCCGUAAACGAUGGUUACUAGCUGUUUGGACCUUGUGUCUGAGUGGCUAAGCGAAAGUGAUAAGUAACCCACCUGGGGAGUACGUUCGCAAGAAUGAAACUCAAAGGAAUUGACGGA